rnacentral:rRNA from 1 species
CUAGCGACUUCAGAGUUUGAUCCUGGCUCAGGACGAACGCUGGCGGCAUGCCUAACACAUGCAAGUCGAACGGAACUUGUUGGAUGAAGUUUUCGGAUGGAUUUUGAUAAGUUUAGUGGCGGACGGGUGAGUAACGCGUGAGCAACCUGCCUUUCAGAGGGGGACAACAGUUGGAAACGACUGCUAAUACCGCAUAACGUAUUUCGGAGGCAUCUCUGAGAUACCAAAGAUUAUAUCGCUGAAAGAUGGGCUCGCGUACGAUUAGAUAGUUGGUGAGGUAACGGCUCACCAAGUCGACGAUCGUUAGCCGGACUGAGAGGUUGAACGGCCACAUUGGGACUGAGACACGGCCCAG